UACCCUAUUGACUUGCCACACCAGAUUGCUUCAAAGGGCUAUAUAGCAUAAAGUUUUUAGUCCUCAUUGCACAAUGUCGACCUCUUCCAUAAACGGUUGGUGCCUCUCUUCCAUCUCCCCAGCCAAAACCUCCCUUAAGAAGGCCACAUUGCGACCUUCAGUCUUUGCAACACUCACCACCACUCCUUCUUCUCCUUCUUCUUCCUCUUCUUUCCCUUCUCUCAUUCAAGACAAGCCUGUCUUUGCUGCACCUUCCCACAUCAUCACCCCAACUGUGAGAGAGGAUAUGGCAAAGGACUAUGAGCAAGCUAUUGAAGAACUCCAGAAAUUGUUGAAGGAGAAGACUGAACUGAAGGCCACAGCAGCAGAAAAAGUGGAGCAGAUAACAGCUUCACUUGGGACAUCAUCUUCUGAUGGAAUCCCUUCAUCAGAAGCCUCUGACAGGAUCAAAAGUGGUUUCCUUUACUUCAAGAAGGAGAAAUAUGACAAGAACCCAGCUUUGUAUGGUGAACUUGCCAAAGGCCAGAGCCCCAAGUUUAUGGUGUUUGCUUGCUCAGACUCAAGAGUGUGCCCAUCCCAUGUGCUAGAUUUCCAACCUGGUGAGGCUUUUGUGGUCAGAAAUGUUGCUAACAUUGUCCCACCAUAUGACCAAUCAAAAUACUCUGGAACUGGGGCAGCCAUUGAAUAUGCUGUUUUGCAUCUCAAGGUGUCCAACAUUGUGGUCAUUGGACACAGUGCUUGUGGUGGUAUCAAGGGGCUUUUAUCUUUCCCAUUUGAUGGAACCUACUCUACUGAUUUUAUUGAGGAGUGGGUCAAAGUUGGCUUACCUGCAAAGGCAAAGGUGAAGACACAGCAUGGGGAUGCACCUUUUGCUGAGUUGUGCACACACUGUGAGAAGGAAGCUGUUAAUGUUUCCCUUGGAAACCUGCUAACCUACCCAUUUGUGAGAGAUGGCUUGGUGAACAAAACAUUGGCUCUGAAAGGAGGAUACUAUGACUUUGUUAAGGGAUCUUUUGAACUCUGGAGCCUUAACUUUGGCCUUGCAAACUCUUUCUCCGUAUGAACAUCAACCAUUAUCAAUGACCUCAUCUUGGUUCCCUAAGUAUUCUCCUAUCUAAAAUGUUAAAGAUGUGGCCACCAUUCUGCAUUGGAAGCUAUAGGCCAUGCUUAGAGGUCGUGUGUCUGCAAUGAAGAGGCCUAGCCACCUUCACCAUAUGAUAUUUUAUAACUAUAUAUAUGAAACUAUGAACUGCGUUUAUGCAUGUCGGAAAAUCUUCUUUUAAUAAGAGUUGGAAAUCCUCUUGUGUAACAAAA